UCACAGUUCAAGUUUUCGAACAAAAUUAACUAGUUAUCAACCUAACUAUCUGUGUUAAUUAUUCGUCAAGAGUUUGAAAUCACUCACAACCAAUAAAAAUGUCUGGUACCGUGUGCAAAGAACAAUGCUCCAAAUGCAACUGCAUCGUCAAAGAAAGAAUAAUCGAUGAUGGAGGAAAUAGUAACAACAACUGCAAAGUCGUAUAUCGUGACUUGGGCGAAUGCUUGCAGAAAUGUAUCGUCAAAGUGAACAGAGAAACAAAAAAGAAGGAUAAAGGCGGCUGCGAUUGGUAAUUGUUCAAUGUUCAUGCGACGAUGAAACUGUACCAGAGUAUUACUUAUUUCGAAAUACUUGCUUAUAUUUUUCGUUAUGCCUGUAAAACUUACACGUGUGUAUUAUUUCAAAUUAAUCCUGGUACAAUAAACAAUUAAAAUGUUA